AACCAGCCAGUUAUGGUGGACGUGGCCGCAUCGGCAGCGCCUGUCGCGGAGGCCGCCAUGAACCCCUUCGCGCGCGCACAAAUGUUUGAAGCUUGCAUACAGAACUACAGUGGUGAUGACCCACUUGAUCCUUGGUAUAGAUAUUUUCAGUGGGUGGAAGAGAUGCCAGAAACAGAGGAAAGGCAAAACUACCUCUUGCAGUUGCUGGAGCGCCUUGUGAAAACCUUUUUAAAUUAUGAGAGGUACCACCACGACACAAGACUCAUCA
rnacentral:lncRNA from 1 species